rnacentral:rRNA from 1 species
UACGAGGGGAGCGAGCGUUGUUCGGAAUCACUGGGCGUAAAGCGCGCGUAGGCGGUUUUGUAAGUCAGAAGUGAAAGCCUAGGGCUCAACCUUAGAAUUGCUUUUGAGACUGCAAAGCUAGAGUAUUGGAGAGGUUAGUGGAAUUCCGAGUGUAGAGGUGAAAUUCGCAGAUAUUCGGAGGAACACCAGUGGCGAAGGCGACUAACUGGACAAUUACUGACGCUGAGGCACGAAAGCGUGGGGAUCAAACAGG